rnacentral:rRNA from 1 species
UACGGGGGGGACAAGCGUUGUUCGGAAUUACUGGGCGUAAAGGGCUGGUAGGCGGCCAACUAAGUCGGAUGUGAAAUUCCCAGGCUUAACCUGGGAACUGCAUCCGAUACUGGUCGGCUUGAAUCCGGGAGAGGGAUGCAGAAUUCCAGGUGUAGCGGUGAAAUGCGUAGAUAUCUGGAGGAAUACCGGUGGCGAAGGCGGCAUCCUGGACCGGCAUUGACGCUGAACAGCGAAAGCUAGGGGAGCAAACGGG